rnacentral:rRNA from 1 species
UGGGGAAUAUCGCGCAAUGGGGGAAACCCUGACGCAGCAACGCCGUGUGCGGGAUGAAGGCCUUCGGGUUGUAAACCGCUUUCAGCAGGGAAGACAUCGACGGUACCUGCAGAAGAAGCCCCGGCUAACUACGUGCCAGCAGCCGCGGUAAUACGUAGGGGGCGAGCGUUAUCCGGAUUCAUUGGGCGUAAAGCGCGCGCAGGCGGUUGCUCAAGCGGAACCUCUAAUCUCGGGGCUUAACCUCGAGCCGGGUUCCGAACUGGACGACUCGAGUGCGGUAGAGGCAGAUGGAAUUCCCGGUGUAGCGGUGGAAUGCGCAGAUAUCGGGAAGAACACCAACGGCGAAGGCAGUCUGCUGGGCCGUCACUGACGCUGAGGCGCGAAAGCUGGGGGAGCGAACAGG